UACGAAGGGAGCUAGCGUUGUCCGGAAUCAUUGGGCGUAAAGAGCGUGUAGGCUGCUCGGUAAGUCCGCUGUAAAAAGUCAAAGGCUCAACCUUUGAAUGUCAGUGGAUACUGCCGGGCUAGAGUCCGGAAGAGGCGAGUGGAACUCCUGGUGUAGCGGUGGAAUGCGCAGAUAUCAGGAGGAACACCGGUGGCGAAGGCGGGUCUCUAGGCCGAUACUGACGCUGAGGAGCGAAAGCGUGGGGGAGCGAACAGG
rnacentral:rRNA from 1 species